UUAUCAAAACUGGUACAGACAAGAGGAAUCUGACUGUUUAAUUAAAACAAAGAAUUGUUAUGGUCCCUAUAGAUGUUGACACAAUGUGAUUUAUGCCCAAUGCUCUACAUGUCAAAGUGAAGAAAUUCAACCAAACGCAGGUAAACAAAGGGAGUAAUUAUGACUCUCUUAAGGUAUCCAAAUGUCUUGUCAUAUAAUUAGUGAUGCGUAUGUAUGGAUUAACGAGAUUCCCGUUGUCCCUAGCUACUAUCUAGAGAAACCACAACCAAGAAAAUGGACUUGC
rnacentral:ncRNA from 1 species